UUUUAAUUUUUCCCAUUUAUCUUUUGGUAAACAAUUGUAUUUACAUAUAUUAGCUUCUGCUCCCGUAUCUAUCAUUGGUGUAUAAUAUCUGUUGUAAUAUCCCUCUAUUAUUAUCUUUGCAAGUAUAUAUAUUUUCAUAUUUUUAUCCUACUAAAGUUCUUUUUAUUAUUACUCUUUUAUUUUCAUAAUUUAUUGUCAA
rnacentral:lncRNA from 1 species